AGUCAAGUUUAAAAGGGCAUACGGCGGAUGCCUAGGCGUUUCGAAACGAAGAAGGACGCGAUAAGCUGCGAUAAGCUGCGGCGAGCUGCAAGUAAGCAAUGACCCGCAGAUUUCCGAAUGGGGCAACCCGGCAAGAGUAACGUCUUGUCACCCUACUCUAGAGGUAGGGAGGAAACACCCGAUGAACUGAAACAUCUAAGUAGUCGGAGGAAAAGAAAUCAAAGAGAUUCCCUGAGUAGCGGCGAGCGAAACGGGAAGAGCCCAAACCUGAGGACUUCGGUUCUUGGGGGUUGCGGACCUGCAACAAGACAUAAACUUUAGUGGAAGCAUCUGGGAAGGUGCGGCAAAGAGAGUGAGACCCUCGUACACGAAAGAGUGAAAGGCGGGCAGGGAUCCAGAGUACCACAGGGCACGAGGAACCCGGUGGGAAGCAGGGUGGACCACCAUCCAAGGCUAAAUACAUCGAAGCGACCGAUAGCGAAAAGUACCGUGAGGGAAAGGUGAAAAGAACCCCGGGAGGGGAGUGCAAGAGAACCUGAAACCGUAUGUCUACAAACAGUCGGAGCACGAUACAUGUGCGACGGCGUGCCUAUUGAAGAAUGAACCGGCGAGUUAAUUUAUGCUGCGAGGUUAAGCGGGAGACGCGGAGCCGAAGCGAAAGCGAGUCUUAAGAGGGCGCAAGUAGCAUGGAUUAGACCCGAAACCACAGUGAUCUAUGCAUGUCCAGGUUGAAGCUCAGGUAAAAAUGAGUGGAGGACCGAACCCGUGCGUGUUGAAAAACGUUGGGAUGAGGUGUGCAUAGGGGUGAAAUGCCAAUCGAACGUGGAGAUAGCUGGUUCUCCCCGAAAUAGCUUUAGGGCUAGCCUCAGAUGAAUAACCAUAGAGACGGUAGAGCACUGAUCGGGCAAGGGGGCGUAAAGCCUACCGACCCCAGUCAAACUACGAAUGGCUCAUAUGGGCAGUCUGGGAGUCAGAAUGCGAGUGAUAAGACCCGUAUUCAAGAGGGAAACAGCCCAGACCGCCGGCUAAGGUCCCAAAUGCUGUGCUAAGUGGAAAAGGAUGUAGGACUUCGAAAACAACCAGGAUGUUGGCUCAGAAGCAGCCACCAUUAAAAGAGUGCGUAAUAGCUCACUGGUCGAGAGGCCCUGCGCCGAAAAUAUCCGGGGCUCAAGCACAGAACCGAAGCCGCGGCAGGGGUGCACAUGUUCACAGAGCGCUCAAAGCGCAGGAAAAAUUGGUAUCUGCAAGGAAACGGAGAGCGGCGUAGCAGCGCUACGGCAAACGACGUUGACACAGCAGAGAGCGAUUUUAACAAGCUUUUUGAACGUUGUGUGGAUGUGUGCAUCACUGGGUAGGGGAGCGUUCUUAUCUGGACGAAGGCAGACCGGAAGGACUGCUGGACGGAUAAGAAGUGAGAAUGCCGGUAUGAGUAGCGAAACGACAGGUGAGAAUCCUGUCCACCGAAAGCCUAAGGAAUCCCGGGCAACGCUCGUCGUCCCGGGGUAAGUCGGGACCUAAGCCGAGGCGAAAAGCAUAGGCGAUGGACAACUGGCGAAAAUUCCAGUACCGGGCGACUUCGUUUGAGGAUGGAGUGACGCAGGAAGGAAGCUGAGCGCGCGAAUGGUUGGGCGCGUCGAAGGCGGUAGGCUGAUACGGAGGCAAAUCCCCGUAUCAUAAGGCCGAGAACCGAUAGAUAGGAAAGACUACGGUCAAUCUGAAUUCAGCUGCACUACACUGCCAAGAAAAGCUUCUAACGAGAAGUCGUCCGCCCGUACCAAAACCGACACAGGUAGGCGGGGAGAGAAUCCUAAGGUGCGCGGGAAAACCCUCGUUAAGGAACUCGGCAAAAUGCAUCCGUAACUUCGGGAAAAGGAUGGCCGCUGAUGGUGAAGACAUUUACUGUUGGAGCUGUUGGUGGCGGCAGAAAAGAGGCCCAAGCGACUGUUUACCACAAACACAGGUGCCUGCGAAAGCGCAAGCUGAAGUAUAGGUGCUGACGCCUGCCCGGUGCAGGAAGGUUAAGGAGAGUUGUUAGUCCUUGAGAUGAAGCAGCGAACUGAAGCCCCUGUAAACGGCGGCCGUAACUAUAACGGUCCUAAGGUAGCGAAAUUCCUUGUCGGGUAAGUUCCGACCCGCACGAAAGGCGUAACGAUUUGGGCACUGUCUCAACGAGGGACCCGGUGAAAUUGAAAUACCUGUGAAGAUGCAGGUUACCCGCGACUGGACAGAAAGACCCCAUGGAGCUUUACUGCAGCUUGGCAUUGGUCUUUGGCAUAUAACGUACAGGAUAGCCGGGAGACUGGGAAGUCAUAUCGCUAGAUGUGAUGGAGUCACCGUUGGGAUACCGGCCUUUAUAUGCUAAGGAUCUAACUAGUACAUUAACAGUGUAUAGGACAGUACCAGGCGGGCAGUUUGACUGGGGCGGUCGCCUCCGAAAGAGCAACGGAGGCGUCCAAAGGUUCCCUCAGCGCGGACAGAAAUCGCGCGCAGAGCAUAAAGGCAGAAGGGAGCUUGACUGCGAGACUGACGGGUCGAGCAGGUACGAAAGUAGGGCUUAGUGAUCCGGUGGAAAGAGAGUGGAAUUGCCAUCGCUCAACGGAUAAAAGCUACCCUGGGGAUAACAGGCUAAUCUCUCCCAAGAGUCCAUAUCGACGGGGAGGUUUGGCACCUCGAUGUCGGCUCAUCACAUCCUGGGGCUGAAGCAGGUCCCAAGGGUUGGGCUGUUCGCCCAUUAAAGUGGUACGUGAGCUGGGUUCAGAACGUCGUGAGACAGUUCGGUCCAUAUCCAUCGCGGGCGCAAGAUACAUGAGGGAGGCUGCUCCUAGUACGAGAGGACCGGAGUGGACGGACCAACGGUGUACCGGUUGUCCUGCCAAGGGCACGGCCGGGUAGCUGCGUCCGGAAGGGAUAAACGCUGAAAGCAUCUAAGCGUGAAGCCCGUCCCGAGAUGAAGUAUCUCAUUCCUAAAAGGAAGUAAGACCCCUUGAAGAAGACGAGGUAGAUAGGCUGGCUGUGGAAGCACAGCAAUAUGUGGAGCUGACCAGCACUAAUCGGUCGAGGGCUUGACUUA
rnacentral:rRNA from 1 species